rnacentral:rRNA from 1 species
CCUACGGGAGGCAGCAGUGAGGAAUAUUGGUCAAUGGGCGCGAGCCUGAACCAGCCAAGCCGCGUGAGGGAGGAAGGCGCAGAGCGUCGCAGACCUCUUUUGCUGGGGGACAAAAGGCCGGACUCGUCCGGUCCUGAGGGUACCCGGAGAAAAAGCAUCGGCUAACUCCGUGCCAGCAGCCGCGGUAAUACGGGGGAUGCGAGCGUUAUCCGGUUUCAGUGGGUUUAAGGGGUGCGCAGGGGGGCCUUUAAGCCGGCGGGGAAAUCGCGGGGCUCAACCCCGCCGGGCCGUCGGAACUGGGGGCCUUGAGUGCGGCGGAGGCAUGCGGAAUGCGCGGUGUAGCGGUGAAAUGCAUAGAUAUCGCGCAGAACCCCGAUUGCGAAGGCAGCGUGCCGUGCCGCCACUGACGCUGAGGCACGAAAGCGCGGGGAUCGAACAGGAUUAGAUACCCCGGUAGUC